AUCAGGCCCCUGCUCAUUGCCAAGUGCACAGAGUUCACUCUUUCUUUCUGACCCGAGACACUGAGCAGAGAGACACGGUGCUACCAGGCUGAUGAGCUUCGGAAUAAACGUGGUUCUGAGAAUUCAUGAGAGGAGCCAUUAUAACAAGCGAGCCCUCUGGGAAGAAAUGCUCCGGUUGUUUCUUUUUCCGGUGUGGAUUAGGAACGAGAUUUCCGAGCCUUGGAGGUUCGGUGGCGAGCCAGAAGGACAUGGACAGGGACGGAGAGGUGCACAGCGUGGCCAUUUGUGGGAUAUGCUUUAACCUGGACAUUCACUUACUUUCUCACAGAUAAGGAACAAAACACACAAUCUACCCGGGUAGUAAAAAACUGAACUGAACACACUGAACACUUACACACUGGACCCUGGACAAUAAAACAUUUUUAUUUUUUGUUUCUAUG